AGUGAACGCUGGCGGUAGGCCUAACACAUGCAAGUCGAACGGCAGCACAGUAAGAUCUUGCUCUUACGGGUGGCGAGUGGCGGACGGGUGAGGAAUACAUCGGAAUCUACUUUUUCGUGGGGGAUAACGUAGGGAAACUUACGCUAAUACCGCAUACGACCUACGGGUUAAAGCAGGGGAUCUUCGGACCUUGCGCGAUUGAAUUAGCCGAUGUCGGAUUAGCUAGUUGGCGGGGUAAAGGCCCACCAAGGCGACGAUCCGUAGCUGGUCUGAGAGGAUGAUCAGCCACACUGGAACUGAGACACGGUCCAGACUCCUACGGGAGGCAGCAGUGGGGAAUAUUGGACAAUGGGCGAAAGCCUGACCCAGCCAUACCGCGUGGGUGAAGAAGGCCUUCGGGUUGUAAAGCCCUUUUGUUGGGAAAGAAAAGAAGCAGGUUAAAACCCCGCUGUUCUGACGGUACCCAAAGAAUAAGCAACGGCUAACUUCGUG
rnacentral:rRNA from 1 species